rnacentral:rRNA from 1 species
UGAACGCUGGCGGCGUGCUUAACACAUGCAAGUCGAACGAACCUUCGGGUUAGUGGCGGACGGGUGAGUAACGCGUGAGAAUCUGCCCUCAGGAGGGGGAUAACAGCUGGAAACGGCUGCUAAUACCCCAUAUGCCGCGAGGUGAAAUGAAUUUCGCCUGAGGAUGAGCUCGCGUCUGAUUAGCUAGUUGGUGUAGGUAAUGGCUCACCAAGGCAUCGAUCAGUAGCUGGUCUGAGAGGAUGAUCAGCCACACUGGGACUGAGACACGGCCCAGACUCCUACGGGAGGCAGCAGUGGGGAAUUUUCCGCAAUGGGCGAAAGCCUGACGGAGCAACGCCGCGUGAGGGAUGAAGGCCUCUGGGCUGUAAACCUCUUUUAUCAAGGAAGAAGAUCUGACGGUACUUGAUGAAUAAGCC